rnacentral:lncRNA from 1 species
CGGAUGUUCACAGUGAGAAUGACUGUUUGUGGCGAGAAGUCACAGUCAGGUCAGCCCCUCGGUGACAGCACAGCUGUCUCCAGCGCUCAGCUGGCGUCCCGUCCCUCACCGUGUCCCCAUCUGUCAGGCUGAUUCUCCCGUGCAUGUGUGUGCGUACAAUUUCACCCUAACCGUCUGUGGCUGCCUUCAGUUUUGCACUGUAAUUUGGCCGACCAUUGCUUUUUUUAAUCUCCUAAACAAACGGUGGGCUUCACAGUGGCUCCUAUGUCUUGGCUCCAGAGUGCAGCCACGGAAUGUCACGGUGCGUGCUGGAGCCUUCCUGCUGGCUGCAUUCAAUAGCUACUGACAGACCAGCUCCAGACUCUUCCAGAAGGAAAAUUAGUCUGGAAGGAAUCACUCAGUCUGCACCUUACGAGCCACAAAACACCAAUGGUCUCCAAAUCGUCGGGUGUUAUGUAAGUCAGUGAGCCAAGCAUUUGGAAUUCUACAGAAAUGGUCUCAGCUGCCGCUUCCGCCCUAGUCCAGCCGUUAUAUAACCAACGUCCAUGGCACUGUUGAGCUGUUGUAGAUUUCAGAUGAAUUACCACACAGCAGCGUGGGUUAUCCACUGUCCCUAGACUUGCAGUGCAGACGAAGCCUAUGGGCGCUUGGCAGCUCACCUAGACUUGGGGUCAGCCUCCUCUGGGCCAGUGGAUUUUGUCCUGAACUGACCCCAGCCUGAGGGCAGGUGAAGCCUGGAAGGACCUGCCCGGGAGGGAGGCUCUGUGUCCAGCGGGAGGAGACUCCGGGGCCUCCGCUCCAGGAAAGUGCCCUCGUCUUGCAGCUGUGCCCACUCUUCAGAGGGAUCAGGAAGCACAGCAAGCACAGGGCCCUGCAGGCAGGCAGCUGGGGCAGAGUGGGACACGGGCCUGCGUGUGCCCGUACUGGAGCAGGAGUGGGGGCUGGGAGAAGAGGUGGUCCCACGGGGCUGCCCACCCACAUUCUGAGGGCGUGGCACUGGAAUUGUGCUUGCCGCCUGCUUCCUUACCUGCCGGGCUUCAGACUCGCGUGCAUAUGCAGUGAUGGGGCUGCUCCUGCCGGGACCACUUCGAUGGCAUAGUAGGGAGGGCUGAGACCCAAGAGACUAAGAAGUGGAGUCAGACCAAGGGCAUGAGAAGAGGGGACCAACCACAGGGGCAGGGUGCGGGCCGGCCAGGGCUCCUGUGGCUGCACCAGUGGCCAGGCAAGUGGCCUGUGUCGUGUCCUGGACACGGAGAGGCAACAGGCGGGCUGCGGAUGAGGCUCGGGCCAGGAAGCUGGAUUUGGGGUGCCCGAAUUUGAGCCACCCAGCACUGAGACCAGUGUUGUACGGAGUCCACCAGCCAAGAUGGCAUCGAGACACUGGGCCUCAGCCCUCCCAGCCUCUGAGCCGCUGCCUCCUCACGAGUGACAGCCUUCAGUUCACCAACUGUGGGGAGCCGGGGCAGAGCUGUCUCCUGCUUCCCCCCGGAACCACAGAGCUGCGCAGGCACCAGGUCUGACGCCCCGUCUGGCCCUCUGCCCUCUGCCCUCCGCUGCUUCUGGAUUUCCGCGCACAGUGCAGCGUCUGAGACAGUGGCGAGAGGCCGCCAUCUUCUCGGAGGAGCAUUUGUUGCCAUCUGUUUUUAUCUCAAGGCUUAAAGCAAAGAAGGCAGAGCACGUGCCUCGUGCUGGUCCUGUGGCACCCCGUCCCGCAUGCUCAGCUUUCAUCAGCAUCUUCUGGAAAGGCGGCCCUGACUCCCUUAGCCAUGAUCUUGCCUGCUGUGAUUUCGGUUCCCACCAUCAACAGCAUUGCGUGGAAAACUGCAGAAGUAAGUACUCGCUAAGGGUGAAGUUGCAGGCCAUCCUGGGCAGUGUGGUGCACCCCUCCCUGAGCGCAGGAAAGUCCUCCUGUCCGGUGAAUCCGCAGCCUGACUGUCACCCCGCAGCCGCCUUGAGCAUCGAUGGACCGUGGCAGGUCGCAGAGCUGUGUCCAGGUGACCUGUCAGCAGCCCCCAUGCUAGUGUCAUGCAUGUCACUUCCUGUCCUCACAGAAGCACUGCACCCUCUCAAGUCAGCAUGAGAAGACAGAAGGGCGAGCAUCACACUGGAGGAUGUCUAAGGAAGUGAGCCUACAGAGGAUCUUCACAGCACAUUGGUGCAGAGCUUAUUGUUAUGAUUCUGUUUGUCAUCAGCUGUCGUAGUUAACUGCCCACUGUGUCUGAUGUGUAAAUUAAACUUUAUCACAGGGAGCGUGAAUGGCCUUUCGGCAGAGCUAAGGGUGACCACAGAUGGGCGUCAGGAGGCAGGCGACAGAGCAUGGGCCCUGGGGCCCCGUCAGCCCUCUGAGCGCGGCCGUGCAGCUCCCGGCUCCCAGGGGCCCGCCUCGGCCUGUGCCGAAGAACAGGCCUCUGCCACCAAGUGAGCUGUGUGACAGCAACCUCAUGACAGGGCCUCCUCUCUGCCAUCGCCGAGUACAGUGGGGAUGCAGGGCAGAGGGGAGCCGCCCGGGCCCUCCGCCUGCCUCACCGCACCCGGUUCUGAUCCUGCCGGGACCCUGGG